rnacentral:other from 1 species
UCAAUCCUGUGGUGUGCGUGAAGUUUCCUGUUAAAAACCCACAGUUUUACAUUGGGAAUUCGAGUUCUGUCGGAGUACGCCAGGCCUGCCACGGUUAAGCGGGAUCGCGGAAAAAGCCAGAUAGGAUACCCACCUGCCGAGCAAUGGCGGGUUAUAAACUGGGAAACAAACGGCACUAUGGGAGUUGA